rnacentral:misc_RNA from 1 species
UCUCCGUUGGUGAACCAGCGGAGGGAUCAUUACCGAGUGCAAACUCAUAACCCUUUGUGAACCUAUAUCUGUUGCUUCGGCGGCUCGCGCUCGGGCGAGCCCGCCGGUAAUAUCAGUAUCUCUGUUUGAACCCGACGAUACUUCUGAGUGUUCUAGCGAACAGUUACAACUUUUAACAACGGAUCUCUUGGCUCUA